CAUCUCCCCUCCAGAAGUCCAUAGUAGAGGGAGAAAGAGAGACAGGAUAGAGCAAGUGAAGAGGAAAAGAUGAAUUCAAGGGCAGGUGGAAGGAAAGCUUUUCUCCUGUCUUAUUCUCGCAAAAAGGAUCCAAGACAGGGCCUUUCCUGCACAUGAAAAUUGGAAUUUGCUCUGCAAUUUGGCUUGGCAUUGUUCCAGACCUCUGGGGGAGAAACGUUCAAAGGGGUAAUGAAAAUAAAGGCGAUCACACACUCUUCACGUGGAAAAGAUGAAAAGGUAGCGCUUAGAUCGCAGAGCACAACCCCGGGGAGUUCAGACCUGGCUGGAUAGCACUAAUCAAUGGAGCGGCUCGAUCCAGAAAGCAGUCUCCGGCGGAGCGUCCCAGGGAGCUGUGCUCGACCCUGUCCCGUUAACAGCGUCUUGGAUAAAGGCAUGGAUGACUCGCUUAUCAGAUUUCCAUAUGAUCCAAAGCUCGAAGGGUUAGUAGACACAAAGAGUUUGGAUUCAAAAAGAUCUUGGCAGGCUAGAGCAUCAGCCAGAAAUGGGUAAAUGGAGUUUAAUCAGUGGCCCUGCGGUUGGCAUUCUUCAGCGUUUCUCUGCCAGAAGUUUUUAUUCAGCAUGGACUUUGUUCCGGGUUCUGGGGGAGGCUCAAGGAUGAAGGACACAAAGUCCCAGCCCCACAGAGUCCAGCCAAGCUCCAGACCUGCUAUUCCUGGGCAAGAUUUGUCAGUUAAAUCCUCUGGGGCUCCACUCACCAUCACAGUGACUUCUCACACCUUCCUGGCCACCAGCUCACCUUGGAAGCCAUCUUCCCUUUCUUACAAUAUAAGCUCAAAAACACCCCAAAGGGCAUAUGAAUAUUAUGGAAUAUUAUUGUUCUGUAAGAAAUGACCAGCAGGAUGAUUUCAGAAAGGCCUGGAAAGACUUACAUGAACUGACACUAAGUGAAAUAAGCAGGACCAGGAGAUCACUAUAUACUUCAACAACAAUACUAUAUGAUGAUCAAUUCUGAUGGACGUGGCCCUCUUCAACAAUGAGAUGAACCACAUCAGUUCCAAUAGAGCAGUAAUGAACUGAACCAGCUACACCCAGGGAAAGAACUCUGGGAGAUGACUAUGAACCACUACAUAGAAUUCCCAAUCCCUCUAUUUUUGCCCGCCUGUAUUUUUGAUUUCCUUCACGGGCUAAUUGUACACUAUUUCAGAGUCCGAUUCUUUUUGUACAGCAAAACAACGGUUUGGUCAUGUAUACUUAUUGUGUAUCUAAUUUAUACAUAUUUAACAUGUAUUGGUCAUCCUGCCAUCUGGGGGAGGGGGUCAGGGGAAGGAAGGGAAAAGUUGG
rnacentral:lncRNA from 1 species